UUCUUGUGACUGAGCGGCGGACGGGUGAGUAACGCGUGGGCAACCUGCCUUACACAGGGGGAUAACAGUUAGAAAUGACUGCUAAUACCGCAUAAGACCACAAAACCGCAUGGUUUGGUGGUAAAAACUCCGGUGGUGUAAGAUGGGCCCGCGUCUGAUUAGGUAGUUGGUGGGGUAACGGCCUACCAAGCCGACGAUCAGUAGCCGACCUGAGAGGGUGACCGGCCACAUUGGGACUGAGACACGGCCCAAACUCCUACGGAAGGCAGCAG
rnacentral:rRNA from 1 species